AUUGAACGCUGGCGGCGUGCUUAACACAUGCAAGUCGAUCGGUAACAGGUGUAGCAAUACAUGCUGACGAGAGGCGGACGGGUGAGGAACGCUUGGGAAUCUGCCUAUCAGCGGGGGACAACCCGGGGAAACCCGGGCUAAUACCGCAUACGCUCUACGGAGGAAAGCCGGGGACCGCAAGGCCUGGCACUGAUAGAUGAGCCCAAGUCGGAUUAGCUAGUUGGCGGGGUAACGGCCCACCAAGGCGACGAUCCGUAGCUGGUCUGAGAGGACGAUCGGCCACACGGGAACUGAGACACGGUCCGGACUCCUACGGGAGGCAGCAGUGGGGAAUAUUGGACAAUGGGCGAAAGCCUGAUCCAGCGACGCCGCGUGGGUGAAGAAGGCCUGCGGGUUGUAAAGCCCUUUCGGUAGGGACGAAAGCUCUCGACCUAACACGUCGGGAGGUUGACUUAACCUACAAAAGAAGCACCGGCUAACUCUGUGCCAGCCGCCGCCGUAA
rnacentral:rRNA from 1 species